rnacentral:rRNA from 1 species
AUUCCAGCUCCAAUAGCGUAUAUUAAAGUUGUUGCAGUUAAAAAGCUCGUAGUUGGAUUUCUGGCAGGAGUGACCGACCACAAACUCUGUUUGUGAGUUGUGUCAUUCUGGCCAUCCUUGGUAAGAUCCUUUUUGGCAUUAAGUUGUCGGGAAGGGGAUGACCAUCGUUUACUGUGAAAAAAUUAGAGUGUUUAAAGCAGGCUUAUGCCGUUGAAUAUAUUAGCAUGGAAUAAUAAGAUAGGACUUUGAGUCUAUUUUGUUGGUUUGCGAGUCAAAGUAAUGAUUAAUAGGGACAGUUGGGGGUAUUCGUAUUUCAUUGUCAGAGGUGAAAUUCUUGGAUUUCUGAAAGACGAACUACUGCGAAAGCAUUUACCAAGGAUGUUUUCAUUA